rnacentral:rRNA from 1 species
UAAAAACCCCGACUUCGGAAGGGGUGUAUUUAUUAGAUACAAAACCAAUGCCCUUCGGGGCUCUUUGGUGAUUCAUGGUAACUAUACGAAUCGCACGGCCUUGCGCCGGCGAUGGUUCAUUCAAAUUUCUUCCCUAUCAACUUUCGAUGUUUGGGUAUUGGCCAAACAUGGUUGCAACGGGUAACGGAGGGUUAGGGCUCGACCCCGGAGAAGGAGCCUGAGAAACGGCUACUACAUCCAAGGAAGGCAGCAGGCGCGCAAAUUACCCAAUCCCGACUCGGGGAGGUAGUGACAAUAAAUACUGAUACAGGGCCCUUUCGGGCCUUGUAAUUGGAAUGAGUACAAUUUAAAUCCCUUAACGAGGAACAAUUGGAGGGCAAGUCUGGUGCCAGCAGCCGCGGUAAUUCCAGCUCCAAUAGCGUAUAUUAAAGUUGUUGCAGUUAAAAAGCUCGUAGUUGGAUUUGUGGUGGCAGCUGAGGUCCAAUUUUGGUACUAUCGGUUGCCGCCAUCCUUGGGUGGAACCUAUGUGGCAUUAGGUUGUCGUGUAGGGGAUGCCCAUCGUUUACUGUGAAAAAA